AUUCACUAAAUGACCUACAGCUAAUCAUUGGUAGACUGUUUAUUUGUGUCAAAAUAGAAUAUGUAUAUUGGUCUGUCUCUUCAGAUACUUGGAAGAUAUCAAGGUAUGGCUUUUUGGGACAAGGAUAAUGAACUAAUGUCCUGGAGAGUGAGCAUAAAUGUCAAGAGAAGAGAAUAUAUAGAGAAAACAGAAUUCCUAUGGCCUAAAUGCUCAUAUAAUGAGGUCACAUUGAACCAAGUUUUUAAUGGGAGUCCUCAAAUGUAAGAAACAGAUUUUUAUUUUAACAUCCUGAAGGAAGAAGACAGCAAUUGGUUAUCCAGUAACAAAUGGAACUGUCAUACUGAUUAAAGGAUGAAGUUUUUCAUUGGAGAGGAAUAGAAGAUAUUUUGUUUUUGCUUUUUUUUUUUUUUACUUUUGCUUUUAGAUUAUGGAAAUAUUACCAAGAGUGGCUCAUGGUAGAGUUCUCAGGGUAAAACAAACAUGGGGUUGGUUGUAUGCAUAAAGAGAUGGAUGAGAUGAUUAGGUGAAAUGACAACUAGGUAUAUUUUCUGCAUAAAAAUUGCCAUUGUAGUACUUUCUUCAACAUUUUACUUAUUAUAAUAAGUAAAUCACUCACUCCUACAGUAUACAGGAAUAUUGCCCUCUUAAUCCUUUUCUUCUUCCCUGGCUUGCAAAUUGUUCCUCAGCAUGUAAAAAUAUUACACUGGAAAUAUUGUGGCUUUCUUCUAGCUUCUGUACUAUUUGUGUACCAUAUUUUCAGGAUUUAUAAACUCCUAGGAUUCUCUGCUUUAAACUGCACUAAGCAGGAACUUAAGAAAAUCAAAAUAUCCCAAUAAGGCAUCAAGUCCCAUUGCAUUGCCUCCAGCCACAUCUAACCAUUUAGUACCACACACAGGACACACAUGCUCACUAAG